rnacentral:rRNA from 1 species
GACGAACGCUGGCGGCGUGCUUAAUACAUGCAAGUCGAACGGAAGGGCCCGGCGCUUGCGGGGUGCUCGAUAGGCGAACGGGGGAGUAACACGCGAGUAACCUGCACUUGACUGUGGGAGAACAUCAGGAAACAGGGGCGAAUACCGGGUAGGAGCUCCUGAUGCGUGGGGGGGGUAGGAAAGAGUCGGCGUUUGGGGAUGGACUCGCGGGUUAUCAGCUGGUUGGGGGAGUAGUGGCGUACCAAGGCUUUGACGGGUAGCCGGCAUGAGAGGUUGACCGGCCACAUUGGUCCUGCGAUACGGCCCAGUCGCCUACGGGACGCAGCAGUGGGGAACCUUGCAGAAUGGCCGGAAGCCUGUUGUAGCAACCCCGCGUGCGGGAUGCCGGCCUUCGGGUUGUAAACAUCUUUCGCCUGUGACGAAGCGUGCGUGACGGUAAUUGGUCAGGAAGCCCCGGCUAACUACGUG